AUGGGCGAGGAGGAGGAGGACGCCUUCGAGGCGUCGUCGUGCGCGUCCUCCGGCGGCGAGUCGGGCGACGAGGGGGACAGGUUCCCGGCCAGCGGGGGCGCCCGCCGCCAGUCCGCGCCGCCGCAGGCGCCGCUGAGGAGGAUGAACUCGGACAGCAUCUACGACAUGUCCGGCAUGACGGCGCACCUCCCCGCCAAGAAGGGGCUGUCGGCGUACUACCAGGGCAAGUCGCAGUCGUUCGCGUGCAUGGCGGAGGUGCGGUGCCUGGAGGACCUGCAGAAGAAGGAGAAGCCGCGCGGGCACAAGAUGAAGCCCUGCAAGAGCUACGCCGCGCUGGGGGGCGUGGCCAUGGCCAGGAAGCCGCCGGGCUCCUCCUGCGCCAACCUCGGCCUCAUGGACGCCGGCAACGGCUUCAUGGCGCCCCGGAACAUCCCCGUCAACGACGACUGCUACCAUCAGUAG
rnacentral:rRNA from 1 species